GACGAACGCUGGCGGCGUGCUUAACACAUGCAAGUCGAACGGAAAGGCCCUGCUUUUGUGGGGUGCUCGAGUGGCGAACGGGUGAGUAACACGUGAGUAACCUGCCCUUGACUUUGGGAUAACUUCAGGAAACUGGGGCUAAUACCGGAUAUGAGCUCCUGCUGCAUGGUGGGGGUUGGAAAGUUUCGGCGGUUGGGGAUGGACUCGCGGCUUAUCAGCUUGUUGGUGGGGUAGUGGCUUACCAAGGCUUUGACGGGUAGCCGGCCUGAGAGGGUGACCGGCCACAUUGGGACUGAGAUACGGCCCAGACGCCUACGGGAGGCAGCAGUGGGGAAUAUUGCACAAUGGGCGGAAGCCUGAUGCAGCAACGCCGCGUGCGUGAUGACGGCCUUCGGGUUGUAAACCGCUUUCGCCUGUGACGAAGCGUGAGUGACGGUAAUGGGUAAAGAAGCACCGGCUAACUACGUG
rnacentral:rRNA from 1 species